UACGGAGGAUCCGAGCGUUAUCCGGAUUUAUUGGGUUUAAAGGGAGCGUAGGCGGAAUGUCAAGUCAGCGGUCAAAUCGCGGGGCUCAACCUCGCUUCGCCGUUGAAACUGGAAGACUUGAGUGUGUUUGAGGUAGGCGGAAUGCGUGGUGUAGCGGUGAAAUGCAUAGAUAUCACGCAGAACCCCGAUUGCGAAGGCAGCCUGCCAAGCCAUGACUGACGCUGAUGCACGAAAGCGUGGGGAUCAAA
rnacentral:rRNA from 1 species